rnacentral:tRNA from 1 species
GGCUAUAUAGCCUAAAUCAAGGCAUUUGAAUUGCACCCAAGUCAUGUACCAUGUACUAUAGCCA